GUCUCUUCUAUCAAUUCAAAUAUAACUGUCGAUAUAGAUCGUAUUUUUUACUUGAUAUGCAUUCCGAUAUAUGAUGGAACAUGGCAUCAUGCUCCAGUAUAAAUGUGCUUUGUCGAUUGGUGUAAUAUGCAUACAGUAUAGGUGCUUUUUAAUCAUGCAGAUAUCUAGCACACACACGAUCACCGUUGGCGUGAUCGGUCCAAUCGUGUCUGAGUUAAGUAUUCCAGAGGUGCAGUUAGACAAACAAGGAUUCUGAAGAGGCGGACAAGCACUGUCUUACAUUGAGCAUGUUGAUGGAGAACAUGCAGACUCAAAGGUAUAUCAGAGGUGUAGUCAGACAAACAAGGAUUCUGAGGAGGCGGACAAGCACUGUCUUACAUUGAGCGUGCUGAUGAUGAAGGUAAUAAACAUAACGACAGUACCCAGUGUUCGUUUUAAUAAAUGAAUAAUAUUAGUUAGACUAGUGCUAAAAUUUGCUUUUACGCCUCCCCACUUGUUUCUCUUGGCUUGA